rnacentral:sRNA from 1 species
CUCUCAGAUACUUUUUGCCAGUUGAGCCGAGUACGUGAACGUGUCUGGACGUUUUUAUGGACGCAACCGAUUGGAGAACGCCCGACAUCGAAAUCGACAUCGACAACGAGACCGAAACCGAAACGGAAACUGAAACCGAAACCCAAAACCAAAAACAAAAAAAUCAAAAAACUGAACCGUUAAUAAAGCCAACAUUUCAGUUGUUAGCUGUCGAUUGUCGCAGUUCAAGUGCGUUUUACCGUAUUUUUCACGCGUGUGUGUGCUAAAUUUCCCUCCCCCCCAAUCCCACCCAACCCCCCGCGCUGAGUGCGCAGUGUGUGCGACAAUGAAUGAAAUGUUUGCCUUAUAAUUCAAUUGCCAGCGUAUCGCGUAUCUCACAGAUACAUUUGCCAUUCAAUAUUAUAAACGAGCGAAAUUUGCGCGUGUUUCUUUUGUUCUAGGCGCAUUUUUGCUUAUGUUUUUGUUUGUGUCGCUCAAAACGAUAAAUUCACGCCAAGUGUUUUCCUCGCAAAAAAAAAAUACAAAAAAAAAAAACAAAACAGGAAAACUGAGGCACGUCGCACAAUUUUGCAGCUUAAAUGCCACAACGCGCCAAUUGCCACAGCUGCCAACUUUUGGGAUUAUAUGCCGACCAAAUUGUGUGUGU